AGCACUGUGUGGCUCAGUUGGUAGAGCAGGUCCACCAUGUGCAGAGGCUAUAGUCCUCAACGCUGUUGUCCUGGGUUUGAUUCCCGGUCCUUGGCCA